AACCAUAAAAUAUUAUUCUUUAGGUCAUCCACAAACCCACCCAAACCAAGAAGCUACCAACAAAAAUGGCGUUCUCUGCAAAUCCGCUGGCUCUCAGCGUUCCAGACCCUACCUUCGAGUCCUGGCUCCGAGACAGCGGUUACCUAGAGGUUCUCGACCAACGCACCUCCGAUCUCCACCGUAUCUCCACCACAACCACCGCCACCGCCACCAGUUCCAACUCCGCAACCGCCGAUCCGCCGCCCGUCGCUACUGCCGUUAGCAGCGGCUUUUUCCUCUUGAACGUUCUCAACCACAUCGGAAUUCUACUCUCUUUGAUAACAAUUAAUCCUUUCUCCAAACUCACUAACGAAGAUUUUGCACGUGAUACGCCACCGUGGACCCUAGGGUUUGUUGGAUCGUUUGAUUCGUAUAGUUUUCCGUCUUCUCGGUCGCAAGCGCGUAUGAGAGUUACGGAGAAUAAUAAGAGAUAUUGCCGGAAUUAUUUUACUCUGUUUAUCGUCUUCUUCGCCUGCUCUCUGUAUCAAAUACCGAUCGCUCUUGCUGGUUUGGUAUCCAGUUUGGCACUUUGGGAUCUGUUUGCAUACUGCAGUAAACGUUGGGGGUUAGAUAAUCAUCCCGUUACUCGAGAAUGUUUGCUUCGGUUGUUACAAUGCGCCACUGCAGUUGUUAUAUUCGUGUGCAAUGUUCAAACAGCGAUCAUAUACGCUCUUGCAGUUAGCUAUGCAGUGAUGAUGCUGCAUGCCUCGUUCCGGAAGCUGACUCCUAUCAAGCAACCUACUAAAGGGAAACCGAAGUAGAAAUUUUUGCAAAGAACUGGGCUCUUCGGUGAUAUAACGUAGGGGUGAACCGCGGGUUCGUGUAAGCAGAGUUAAUUAAGACAGACAGGUAUGUGAAGUGCAAAAUAUCACCAAACUUCAAGUUAUUAUCAGACAUUUACUUCCGCCAACCAUCCAAGGUGUAACGUGGCCCAUUGUUUAACUCCGUCUUCACAGCAUAAACAUUCACAACUCCAAUCAUAUUUUGAACUGUCAAGGGAUGCAGAUUGACACAAAGACCUGCUCGCCUAACAACUUCAACAGGAAGACGCUACAUAUAUUGUGUGAAACAAAAUAAUAGUGAAUGACAAAUAAACAUAAAUCGUUAGUUUGUUAUAAAAAAUGGUAUACUAGUCUAUAGUCUCCUUUCCGAACAAAGUGAAAGAACUCAGGGUCAAGAAGAUCAACAGAACGUUUUUUUUUUUGAACUCUUUCUACUCUUAUUUGUAUGGUUACAAUUUUUGUGAACA